UCCGUAGGUGGAUAAUUAAGUCAGAGGUGAAAUCCUGCAGCUCAACUGUAGAAUUGCCUUUGAUACUGGUUAUCUUGAAUUAUUAUGAAGUAGUUAGAAUAUGUAGUGUAGCGGUGAAAUGCAUAGAUAUUACAUAGAAUACCGAUUGCGAAGGCAGAUUACUAAUAAUAUAUUGACACUGAUGGACGAAAGCGUGGGGAGCGAACAGGAUUAGAUACCCUGGUAGUCC
rnacentral:rRNA from 1 species